AACGCGAAGAACCUUACCUGGGCUUGAAAUGUGGAGGAAGACCAGAGAGAUGUGGUUUCCCUUGGGGUCUCUAUAUAGGUGGUGCAUGGCUGUCGUCAGCUCGUGCCGUGAGGUGUUUGGUUAAGUCCAGCAACGAGCGCAACCCUUAUCGUUAGUUGCCAACGCGUAAUGGGGGGAACUCUAAGGAGACUGCCUAGGUUAACUAGGAGGAAGGUGAGGAUGACGUCAAGUCCCCAUGGCCUUUAUGUCCAGGGUUACCCCCUUGCUACAAUGGUCGGUACAAAAGGCAGCAAACCCGCAAGGGGAAGCAAAUCCCAAAAACCGAUCUCAGUUCAGAUUGUAGUCUGCAACUCGACUCCCUGAAAUUGGAAUUGCUAGUAAUGGCGUGACAACAACAACUCCGUGAAAACCUUCCCGGGUCUUGUACACACCG
rnacentral:rRNA from 1 species